AUGACUACUUAUACUCAAUUACAGCGCCUUAGUAAUUAUUUUUUAGGGAAUUACAAGACUGUUCUAUGCGGAAGAGUAAAUUGGAUAACGCCAAUACAAUCAUGUGACUAUACAAAAAAAUCUGCAGAGCAGAGGUUGGGCCUGAACAAGCCUAAACGACCUCUUACGCCAUUCUUUAAGUUCAUGUCACAAAUGCGACCAGCUCUUCUUGCCAAGAACCCUGGCAUAUCAUCCAAAGAGGCUAUAGCAUGGACGUCGAAACAUUGGCAACAACUUGAUAUGGAGACAAAAACCCAAAUGGCGAAAGAAUAUCAGAAAGAUUUGGAGGAUUACAAUAAAAUUAAAGCAAUGUAUGAGACAUCGUUAACAGAGGAACAAAAGGCAGAUAUAAAAAGAGUUAAAGAAGAAAUGGCACAGGCCAAAGAAAAGAGAAAAUUAAAAGCGGAAUAUAAGGAACUGGGCCGGCCUAAGAAACCAAUGUCUUCAUACUUUAUAUACAUGCAGUCUAGAAAAGAUAAUAUACAAGGAAAAACACUAAAGGAAUAUCAAGAGACAGUCAAGAAAGAUUGGAUAAACUUACCUGAUAGUGAAAAAGCAAAACUGGAGAAGCAAGCACAAACAUUAAUGGAUAAAUAUAAGAAAGAUCUUCAAGCAUGGGAACUAAAAAUGGUUUCAAUUGGUCGGACAGAUCUAGUUAGAUCGAAACCAGCCAAAGAGAAGAAAACCAAAAAAGUUGAUAGUUCACAAUAGGAACUCGGGUGCUCUGAUGAUGCUGAUUCCAUACUUACCGAUUCGCCAAUUGUCGAUAUGAAAUCAGUACAAAGCAUUGAUAAAGAUGUUAAAACUAGUCAAAUAAUUCCACUAAAUUCAGACAGUAUAGGUAAAGAUCAAAGGGAGACAGAUACAAAUCAUCAGAGCACGGGUGACCAAGUUGUGUAUGACAAACAGACUAUAAGUGACAGCACUAAGAACAAAAAAAUGAGGACUCUCAUUUUAAUUGUUUACUAGAAGAUGUAAGGCAGAGAAGCACACAAAUGUUCCAUUCCAACUUUUUAUUUCAAACAUUAAGAAAUAUAUUAAUUAAAAA
rnacentral:misc_RNA from 1 species